UUUUUUCUCUCCUUCAAAGGCGAAACCAGAUCCAGUGAGAGACGAACGUGACUGAGAAGAGCAGGACACUGCAAACAUUUUCCAAGAGUGACAAAAAGAGCUGGGAGAG
rnacentral:lncRNA from 1 species